ensembl:lincRNA
UGGCCACAGGGGACGCGGCUCCUAGCAGCGUCUCCGAGCACUCCUGAAGUGGUCGGCACCGGCCUGGGCAUCGCUCGACCCACCUUAACUUUCCAGAGGCGCCAAUUCUAAAUUCGCCGGACCUGCCGCCGCUGCUGCCGCCACCUCCUCCUCCACGCGCCCCUCGGCUCGCUCCCCUGAGUCUGUCCGCAACCCUGGCUCCCUCCCUCCCUUAGGAACUCCACUGAGACCGGCGUGGCGGGAAAACGCUGCCAGGUGCCUCCCGGCCUGGGGGGCUCCCGUCGGAUCUCCGCUCCCGCAGGGAGCCUCAGUCCGCCAACCGCCGCAGCCGCGCGCGCCCCUCACGCACACUCACCAGCCCCAGCCGGAGCGGCCAUCUUAGCGCUGGUCUCCCGCGGCCCCGCUCCCAGCUCCCCGCUCCCCGGUGCAGCGGCGGCAGCGGCGGCGGCCCGGUGGGGCGGCUACGUCAGUGGUGACGCCGCGGCCGACCCCGCCCCCAACCCCCUCCCGGCCUCGGCUCGGCGACUGCGGACCCGCGGGUUGGCAGCCUGAGGUGUGCGGGAACCCGGCGCCUAGGCGCCAACGGGGCAUCCCGGAAUAGACGUUCCCCUGCGCGACCUGUGGCUCAGCUCGGAAGGCAGAAGCUCCUCCCGGGCGGGCUUCGCACCUGUCGUAGCCGUCGGGGCCUGGGAGAAGGCAACUCCAAGCUGCAACCCCAAGCUAGUGAGAUGCAAAUAUUCCCGGGACGUUUACCCCUUCAUAGAAUUUCUGCCACUCAGCGUCGAAUUUGGUUGACAGAAACGCGCGGCCAUCUCGUUUUCUUCGGCAUCUCCCCACGUUGACUGGCUUAGAAAGUUUGCAAGAAAACGUUUCCUUCCCGAGGAGGCAGCCGGGUGUGAGAGCUCAGCGGGCAGUGACUGCUUUGAAUUUGGCUUCCUCAGACGGCAAUUGGGCAAAUAAGUUUCCAGAAUUGGAAGUAAGAUGUAAGGGACGCGGAAGUUGCCUCUGUCCAAAAUUACUUUACCUGAAAUUGCCGAUUGAAGGUAAUGAAGUAGUUUCCGAAAAAAACGAAGCGAAGAGCCUGAGGGAGAAAAAUCAAGCCGACAGAAAACAAGCUCGAAGAGAAAAAAAAAAAAGUUGUCGACUCUAUCAAGAUCUAGAAGAAUGCCCCUGGAUUAGGCUCUUGAUAAAUGUGAGUUAUCUAGAAUGAAUGAUGGAAUGAGUGAAUAAAUGAGUGAAAUAAUGAGUGAAAAACAAAUCAUAUAAUACGCAUAACACAAAAG